rnacentral:rRNA from 1 species
UACGUAGGGUGCAAGCGUUGUCCGGAAUUAUUGGGCGUAAAGAGCUCGUAGGCGGUUUGGUAAGUCUGGUGUGAAAUCUCCACGCUCAACGUGGAGGGGCCACCCGAUACUGCCAUGACUGGAGUCCGGUAGAGGAGUGUGGAAUUCCCGGUGUAGCGGUGAAAUGCGCAGAUAUCGGGAGGAACACCCGUAGCGAAGGCGGCACUCUGGGCCGGAACUGACGCUGAGGAGCGAAAGCGUGGGGAGCAAACAGG